AGUAACUGCCCCAACCACUACCACGUCCCCAAGUGCAACGGGACCCACGGAACUACAGGUGUGGGGCAGGGUGAGCGUGGAAGAAGGGACGCGGAUGGGGGUGCGCUUUGCAGACGAUCUGGAGACUGCUGUGUGUUGAGGGAAGAUACGAAGUCGCGGGAGCAGUUGGGGACUCAAUGUGUGGGCAACAAGGGUCCUGCUGAGCUCAGGAGCUGCACGGAAUGGUGGCAGUCACCUUGCCAGUGCAGCAGGCAUGGAUCAGACUGCAAGCUAGGGGCACGAGGCAUCAGUUGGGAAGAGGGGACGCACAGCUAGGCUUGAGGCCUCUUCAUCGGGGUAAGUACCAGGGAGAAGAGGGGGAAGUGUGUCCAGUAAGAAGCCUGAGCUAAACCUGUCACCCUCUCAGGAGUUCUGAGAGUGGUCUCUAUAUUCCAUUAGUCCAUCCAGGGAUUUGUACACAUUCAUCCUUGGGAACCCAUCAAAGUCACCCCUUUAGGCAAGGAGAGGGUCUGAAACUCAGCUGGAAGGAAGAAGACUCAUUGAUUCCCCUGACCACCUUUUCUUCUCUUCUCUUACACAGAUGUC
rnacentral:lncRNA from 1 species